rnacentral:sRNA from 1 species
AGUGGAGUGGCAGCCCCAGAACUGGGACCACCGGGGGUGGUGAGGCGGCCUGGCACUGGGAGCUGCAUCUGAGGCUUAGUCCCUGAGUUCUCUGCCUGCCCAGACUAGCUGCACCUCCUCAUUCCCUGCGCCCCCUUCCUCUCCGGAAGCCCCCAGGAUGGUGGUUUCACCGAGACCUCAGUGGGCUGGAUGCAGAGACCCUGCUCAAGGGCCGAGGUGUCCACGGUAGCUUCCUGGCUCGGCCCAGUCGCAAGAACCAGGGUGACUUCUCGCUCUCCGUCAGGACCUCAGCCGAUCCCUGCCCUCCUGCCUCUACUCCUGCACCGACUGGCCUCACCGCCUGGUGCCCUGCAGGGUGGGGGAUCAGGUGACCCAUAUUCGGAUCCAGAACUCAGGGGAUUUCUAUGACCUGUAUGGAGGGGAGAAGUUCGCGACUCUGACAGAGCUGGUGGAGUACUACACUCAGCAGCAGGGCGUCCUGCAGGACCGCGACGGCACCAUCAUCCACCUCAAGUACCCGCUGAACUGCUCCGAUCCCACUAGUGAGAGGUGGUACCAUGGCCACAUGUCUGGCGGGCAGGCAGAGACGCUG